rnacentral:rRNA from 1 species
UACGUAGGGGGCGAGCGUUGUCCGGAUUCAUUGGGCGUAAAGAGCUCGUAGGCGGUUCGGUAAGUCAGGUGUGAAAACUCCAGGCUCAACUUGGAGACGCCACCUGAUACUGUCGUGACUAGAGCCCGGUAGGGGAGCAUGGAAUUCCUGGUGUAGCGGUGAAAUGCGCAGAUAUCAGGAGGAACACCAGCGGCGAAGGCGGUGCUCUGGGCCGGAACUGACGCUGAGGAGCGAAAGCGUGGGGAGCGAACAGG